ensembl:snRNA U6 U6 spliceosomal RNA
GUACUCGCCUCCGUAGCAUAUAUACUAAAAUUGGAAUGAUACAGAGAAAAUUAGCAUGGCCCUUGUGCAAGGAUGACAUGCAAAUUGGUGAAGCGUUCUAUAUUUCU